CCACCACACCCGUGUGCUCAUCCGCCAGCGCCACAUCAGGGUCCGCAAGCAGGUGGUGAACAUUCUGUCCUUCACUGUGCGCCUGGACUCCCAGA